GUGCUCACUUAGGCAGAACACAUGCUAAAGUUGGAGCAGUACAGAGAAGAUUAGCAUGACCUCCAUACAAGAAUGACAAAGUUUUAAAAUGUUAAUAUAUGUGUAUAU
ensembl:snRNA U6 U6 spliceosomal RNA